UAAGGGUGUGAGCAGGAAGCUAGAGAUGUUUGGUGGAUAUGGUAUGACAUUUGUGAAGGUUUUGGCACACUAGGGGGUUUGUGGGACUUGAAACACCACAGGGGUGUGAGAACCAGGGCCUUUUUACUGAUUUUCUCAGAUGUGGGCAGAGGGGAAGAGGCAGGAGUGAGGCUUCAAGGUCUCAGUUCCAAGUGCUGAUAACAAUUGAGUCAGAUGUAUUACAUCAUUUAAUCUUGUGUCUUCAUUUGACCCAGGAGGGAAGGGCUCAGAAACAGAGAGGGGGAGGGGCUUAAGCAAGAACACAGAGUUAGUUAGGGGCGAUGGCAGCAUUGGCAUCAGAAUCCCGGUCUUCAAGGCCAGACACUUCCUUCUCUCUCUUCCACUGGCCUCACAAAACGUCACUUACACGGCCUGAAGAUUCUUUGUCUGACGGAUGAGUCUGUUUUGUGGAUCUGCCAGACAGGAAGUGCUAACGAGUGCCAGACACACAGAGUCACAUCUCUUCACUGCUCCAAAUCGGCUCUGGUGAGGUUUGGUGACAAGAUAGCUCAGGACUCUGACUUUAAAAAAAAAAGCCUCAACACAAAAUGAAAGAAAGCCAGUAGUCUGAAAAAAGUAGAAUGAAACAAACAGACAAACAAAAUAACCUUUGAGAACAGAGUAGGCCUCACUGCCUUCUCCUUUGUGGACUUGAAAGUGGAACAGGAAGCUGAGAUCCAGGAUUCCACUGAUGGGGGACACCACAGAAAUCUACAACCUGUGAGAAUGCAGAGAAUGAGUGACCAUGGAAUGCCAGGUUCAACAGAUGCAUCUGCAACCUACCUUAUACCCAAGACUCAGGGAUCAUCACGGAAGAGGAAGUGGAAAGAUUAAAACCAACCAAGCAACCAACCAACCAAGCAACCACUUCUGAUGCCCUUGAUGCAGGUGCAGUUGUUUAAACAGUGACUGUGGUCAAAGGCUUUGGGUUCAAGUUCAAGAAUAGAAACAUCUCCCAUUGCAUCUGCCUGAGAUUCAGGCCUGCAAGGUCAUUAUCUUAAAACUUGCUUCCAGUUAGAGAGAUCAUAUUGGGUCCUCCUUGUGGUUGGGAAAUGGAAACUGACAGCUUCUUUUGGCUUUUUCUUCCUGCAUAAGGUGAAAAAAAAAACUGCAGGAGAAGCAGAGAGUAUGACAGAAACACAUUUAAAGAGACAUCUUUUCCAGGCCCAUACUCAAACCACUAACAAAUUGGUAAAUGCAUUUGAAAUGUCACUCUAAGCUGACACAGGUAAUGGUGGUCUGGCAUUGACGAAAGACCAUGGACUUGGGGAUUAGAUAUAUCUGUGUUUAGAUCUCUAAUAUGCCCAUUAGAUUAGUGUAACAGGAUAAGAACACAAUCCCCCUUCAGUGUUGCCUUUGGCUAGGGUCUCAAGACUAACUUCUAAUAGUAAGGGGAGACUAGGUCUACCAUGCAGGACAUUUAAAUGGAGUGCUCACAGUCAAUUUGGGGUCCUCAUUCUCCGACCACUGAAAUAAUGAAAGGAGUGAAUAGAAUCAGAGAAGGUUUUGUAUGGCAGGUUGGAAGACUUUUCUUUCCUCUCAAGUCUAGAAGAAGGUCUUUAAUGGAGCUACAAGUGAGCUUGACACAUGCCCCAGUAGACAAAAGUCUGAGUCAUAUCUAAAGAGUAGGAAGGAAGAAAGCUAGGACUACUUUCACUUUUGUCGGGAAGCUUGGGAAGAUGUCACAACAAAGGAAGGACUCUCACAACCGAGGUAAGAGACAAAUUUCUUUUUGAUGAAUAGUUGUGUGUGAGGAAACUGAUGUAAAGUUAUCUAAACUCUAGCUGUGAUGGUUCAAACGAAAAUGGUCCUCAUAGACUCAUAUAUGAAUACUUAGCCCCAAGUUGGAGGCACUGUUUGGGGAGGAUUAAGAAGUAUAGCUUUGACUAGCCCCCAGUCCUCUGGGGUACCCUAAGGUCCCCUGAGCCACCUGCUAUCCCUGGCAGAUCUCCAUUGUCAUGUCAACUCUCAGCCCACCAUCAUUAGUCCUGCUGAUUCUGAACUAUACAGCCCAAGGAUACCCAAAAAAGGCCAGCCACACCAGGAUCAUGAGGUUAGGGCCCUCCUAAUACCUACUACAACAGGAACAUCCAGGGACUAAAGCCAUCUGAUGGCUAAAGGUCCUUGAAAGAACAUAAUCAACAAAAUUCAGGGCAUUAUAGUACCCUCAGAGUACAGCUAUCCCACUACAUCAAGCCCUGGUUAUCUUAACACAACUGAAGCACAAGAAAAUGACCUUAAAUCCAACUUAUAAAGAUGAUAGAGAGCUUUAAAAAGGAUUUGAUGAAUAAUUCCCUUAAAGAAAUAUGAUCAAACAGGUAGAGACCUUUAAAGAGGAAACAAAUUCCUUAAAGAAAUAUAAGAAAAUACAUUCAAACAGAUGAAGGAAAUAAAUAAAACUGUCCAAGACCUGAUAAAAGAAUUAGAAGGAGUAAAGUAAAUGUAACCUGGGGGGAUCCUAGAGAUGGAAAACCUAGGAAAGAGAACAGGAACAACAGAUGCAAGCAUCACCAACAGAAUACAAGAGAUGAAAGAAUCUGAGAUAUAGAAGAUACAAUAGAAAAAAACCCCUGAUAAACCAAGUCAAAGGAAAUGUUAAAUCUAAAAAGUUCUUGACACAAAACACCCAGGAAAUCUGGGAUACCAUGAGAAGACCUAACCUAAGGAUAAUAGAAAUAGAAGGUGAAGAGACGCAGAUCCAAAGACCAGAAAAUACUUUCAACAAUAUAAUAGAAGAAAACUUUCCCAACCUAAAGAAAGAGAUGCCUAUAAAUAUACAAGAAGCUUAUAGAACACCAAUUAGCCUAGACCAGAAAAGAAAGCCCUCCCACCACAUGAUAAUAAGAACACAAAAUCUACAGAACAAAGAAAGAAUAUUAAAAGCAGCAAGGGAAAAAAGGUGAGGUAAAUAACUUCAGUGAAGAAAUGUUUCCAUCAAAUUGGCCUGUAGGCAAAUCUGUGGGAUAUUUUCUUGAUUAAUGAUUGAAGUGAGAAGGCCUAGCCUAUUGUUGAUGUGGUCACUAUAGGAAGGUGGUUUCAGUUUGUAUAAGAAAGGCAACAUAUCAAGCCAGAGAAAGCAAACCAGCUCCCACCUUGAGCUCUUGGAUUGAAUUUCCUUCAAAAUGGACUGUGAUUGGGAUGUAUAAACCAUAAGUCCUGUCUUCCCUUCAUUGCUUUCUGUCAUGGAGUUCUUUAUAAUAAUAGGAAUAUGGGUAAUCUGAAGCACAUUAAGACUCCUAUACAGUCACACCAGGGGCUGUAUAACAGUAUUGUCCCAGGAUAUUUCUGAAUGAGGCUGGUUGAAUAUUCACGUAUGGGGCAACCAAUGGCUAUGAAGAGUUGAUGAAUAUAAGAUACCAAAGCUAAAGCAGGGCAUUACUGAGGAAUAUUCAAGAAAAGUUAGAGAGGCAAACAGCCAAACAAAUAAUUAGAUAUGUAAAAUUCUACAUCUUUCCAUUUUCUACUUUCAAAACCAACUGCACAUAGGCACUGGAGUCUUUUUCCUUUGUCUCUUAAAAAAUGGGAUAGAUUUCUUUCUAAACAGAUACACAAUCAUAUAAGAUUGUGGUUUAUAUGAUAUAGUUUAUUUGCUAAUUAUAUACAUUAGCAGGAUGCCAUGUCAUGUUUCAACACAUGCACACAUUAUGUAUCACGUUAACAUCAUAAUAAACAUAGCUAUCUCCCCAAACUUGUCUUUUCUUAUGGUAAAAUCUUUCAAAAGCCCCUGGUCUAGGUUUUUAAGAUGAUGUGUGGCACAUAACUGUUCUCCACAGUCACUUGCACUGGCACCAGAACUUUCCAUUCCUACCUAACAGUAGCUUCGUGCCCACUGAUUAGCCUUCACAUACUUCCCUUGACCCGUGGCUCCAGUCUCUGACAGUAGCCAUUCUACUCUCUGCUUAUCUGAGGUUGACUUUUUACCUAUUACACAAGUGACUGAGGUCAUGCAGAGCCUGUCUUUUGUGUCUGGAUUAUUUUUAUUUAAUAUAACUAUCUCCAGUACCAUCCAUGGUGUUACACAUGACGAUAUUUUAUCUUUUUUAAAAAAGUAGAUGAAUUGUGUUCCACUGAGCGCACAUACAACAUUUUUCCUUUAUUUGUUCAUCAGCUGAUGGACACCUAGUGUUAUCCCUUGAUGAAAUGCUCCCUGUAGGCUCAUGUGUUUGAACACUAGGUCCCAAGCCAGUGGUAUUGCUAGGGGAGGUUAUAGGAUCUUUAUGAAGAGGGAGUGGGGAUCACUGGAGAAAGUGAGUCUCCGGAGGUGGGGUGUAUGGGUUAUAACCCUAUUCUAGUUCCUAUGCUGAGUCUUUUCUGCUUUCUAUCAGGCGCCUACAUGUGAGUCACAAACCCAGAAAUCAUGUGUCUGCCUCUAUGCUACUACACCUAGCCUAGCUUGAAUCCAGCAGCAAAAAGAAAUCCUUCCUUAUACCGCUUUCUGCCAUAUGUGCUGUCAUAAUAAGAAAAGAUGAUGACGGGGAAGCUGAAGGAUCAAGGACGAGGCCAGUCAGAUCUGCCCAGCAAAAAGGAAACUUGCAAGCGAAGGUUUCAAACCCACUGAAGACAAGAGGAGUGGACAUGCCUACAAAAUGGCUCAUUGAAUGCCAAUAUGCAGAAGAACAGCUUGGCGUCAUUGAACCUCAGCACCCGUCUUGAAAACAUGCAUUUAAUUCAGUUGAAAUGAUGACAGUCUGAGCAGCCACCAGCAAGUUUGCUGUUCAGAGGCCAUGGGAAUGUCACUACUGUUGCCUUGAUCCGAAGUCAUAUCUGGAUUUUAAAAAUAUUAAAAUGGAGCACGGGCUACUUCUGAAAAGAGAGAAACACAUCCAAGAACUCAUGGUAUUCCGGCUGAUUCUUGCUGCUUCUGCUGGAUCGAGCUGCUGCUACUGGUUCGUGUUUGGU
rnacentral:sRNA from 1 species